rnacentral:rRNA from 1 species
AACGAACGCUGGCGGCAUGCCUAACACAUGCAAGUCGAACGAGUGCCUUCGGGUGCUAGUGGCGCACGGGUGCGUAACGCGUGGGAAUCUGCCCUUUGGUUCGGAAUAACAGUUGGAAACGACUGCUAAUACCGGAUGAUGACGAAAGUCCAAAGAUUUAUCGCCAGAGGAUGAGCCCGCGUAGGAUUAGCUAGUUGGUGUGGUAAAGGCGCACCAAGGCGACGAUCCUUAGCUGGCCUGAGAGGAUGAUCAGCCACACUGGGACUGAGACACGGCCCAGACUCCUACGGGAGGCAGCAGUGGGGAAUAUUGGACAAUGGGCGAAAGCCUGAUCCAGCAAUGCCGCGUGAGUGAUGAAGGCCUUAGGGUUGUAAAGCUCUUUUACCCGGGAUGAUAAUGACAGUACCGGGAGAAUAAGCUCCGGCUAACUCCGUGCCAGCAGCCGCGGUAAUACGGAGGGAGCUAGCGUUGCUCGGAAUUACUGGGCGUAAAGCGCACGUAGGCGGCUUUGUAAGUUAGAGGUGAAAGCCUGGAGCUCAACUCCAGAACUGCCUUUAAGACUGCAUCGCUUGAAUCCAGGAGAGGUGAGUGGAAUUCCGAGUGUAGAGGUGAAAUUCGUAGAUAUUCGGAAGAACACCAGUGGCGAAGGCGGCUCACUGGACUGGUAUUGACGCUGAGGUGCGAAAGCGUGGGGAGCAAACAGG